ACUCGUUGUCAUACCAAGCAAUCACCUUGACCAUGUCGUCGCCCAUCACCAUGGUCAGCGACGAAUCGACGGUCGACGAUACAUCGCUGCAGCGGAAGUCCACGGAGACAAGAGGCUCGUCGCAGACGGAGAGGAUGCCCUUCAGUUCUUUGUCGGCAGCAUCUCGGAACGCGGCAUUGACCUCCUCGGCGAAGGUCUUCUUGGAUACUUGCACAACAAGGUCGACGACCGAGACGUUAGGGGUGGGCACACGGAGGGCGAUUCCGUUGAGUUUGCCCUUGAGGGAGGGGAGAACCAGGGCGACGGCCUUCGCGGCGCCGGUGGAGGUGGGGACUAUGUUGAGCGCAGCGGCUCGCGCACGACGGAGGUCGCGGUGGCUCGCAUCAAGCAGCCUUUGGUCCCCGGUGUAGGAGUGAGUGGUGGUCAUGGUUCCCUUGAUGAUUCCUGUCAUGGGUUUGGAUGGCAGAAACCAUGUUACGUUCCCAUGCAACAAGAAAAGCUAACGAUAGCACAUCUCAUAAGUUAGCUAUUAUAUAUCAUCAUGAAAACUCAAAACAGCAAUCAUGAAUCCCACAUUUGAAACCACAUAAUAUACCCUAUGAAGAUCACAAAACACGAAGCCCAAUAUAAUUAGCACAAGCAUGAGUAGACCAUGAGAGUCGAUCAAUACUGUAUCUGUCAAUCUCAAAUGCACUACUGCAUGAAUUCGUCGAGUGACAAUUACCUAUCUUCUAUUAAGAUCUUAGAGGGCAUGAAGAAGUUCCUAUAUGACAUUUCUGAUAGACAAGAAAUAUGAACCAUGAGUCUUGUACAACUAGCAUCGUCCUAUGCUUGGUGUAGUGGCAUUAAUGGAAGCUUACCUGAUGCUCAUGCAGAAUUGAACAAAGUUUUAUAAGCUAUAAACAUAGUUAUUUGACAUCUCUUCUCCAUUCCAAUGUUCAGCGAGCUGCAAAGGGUCAAGUUUAACUUGAUAACAACAGAAAUGUAGUAAGUAAUCAGAACAUGUUCUGCAAGAUGCUUGAUUGUGUUUGUCUUUGACAGCUUUAAGAUUCGUUAUGGAGAUAUCACAAUGUCUUUUUUUGUCAUAUUGUCUUUAACUGAUGAGACCAUUGCCCACUGGAAAUGAGCCAUUUCAUUUAUCCCCUAGUGAGCAGACCUAUCUCCAUCCUUUCCUAACAUCACAACUAAGAAAUCCAUUCCUAAUCUAUACAGAAAAUUUAGGAGUGUCUUCAGAGGAAACAGUAGCUCACCUGCCCAAAAAAAAGGGGCCCCAAAAACAGUAGUGGCAUUAAGUAAUUGUAGUUCAUCAGUUAAUCUAAUAUGGGAUUUAUGGUUUCAUGUGAUGCAAUGAAUUUAAUGCUCCCGAAAGAAUGUUUUAAGAAGUUCCUCUGUACACUCAAAAUUUGAAGAGUUCAAAUUUCUAGUGUCCAUCCCCUGUAUCAUCUUUUGUGGGAAUGUGAGUGUGACAGCAGAAGGUGCAGAGCAAUGCAGAAGAAACAAAUACGCAAUAUCUUCAAGAAGCAUACAUCCAAUGGAUUCAAAAGCACAUAACCUCUCUAAAGGAACAAAUCGGUAGAAAUAUAACUACAAAGCUUCUAAUUCUUGGACCAAAGGUUGCAUCUCAUCAUAAAGAAAGGUAUGUAGCGGAAUGACGAGCAGGUUUCUUAGAAGAAGCAAAAGCAGGCUAUGCUUUAAACACGAACAGGACACCUUUCAUGAUAGAAAUGAAUUAAUGGAAGUUUUCUGUCAUUAUUAUACUACUCGAAGAAACUAAAAAGACCUCUUAUAGUUUCAACCUCGGAUCCAACUGUAAACAAAGACAUGAUGCAACUGUAAACAGAGGUCAUGGCAUCUCGUAAUAGCAGGCUAGCAGAGCAAAGAUGAAAGGCUCACCAAACUUCUGGUCAAGGAUCUUGACGAAGGGGGCGAGGCAGUUGGUGGUGCAGGAGGCGUUGCUGAUGAUGGGCUCAUCGGGGUUGUACGCAUCCUCGUUGACGCCCACCACGUAGGUGGGGAUGUCACCUUUGCCCGGGGCGGUGAUGAGCACCUUCUUGGCGCCGGCCUGGAUGUGCUUCCCUGCUCCCUCCCUGUCCACGAACACCCCCGUCCCUUCGAUCACCAAAUCUAUUCCCAACUCGCUGCACACACACGAGAGUCAGAGACAACGCCAACAGUAUUGACUUACUGCAACGAUCUACGAAUGAGCAUGCACGCAGUGAGAGGAAGGGACGUGAACAUACCCCCACGGAAGGUUGGCGGGGUUGCGGUUGGAGACGACCUUGAUGACCUUGCCGUCGACCGAGAUGGCGGAGUCACCCUCGGGCUUGACGUUGGCUUCGAAGAUGCCGAGGGUGGAGUCGUACUUGAGGAGGUGGGAGGCCUGCUUGACGCCUCCGGUGUCGUUGAUGGCCACCACGUCCAGGGGCGAGUCCUUGCGCCCGUGCCAGCACCGCAGGAAGUUGCGCCCGAUGCGGCCGAACCCGUUGAUGGCCACCUUUACCUUCGCCUCCGCCGCGCCCUUCCGGUACCCUCCGCUGCU
rnacentral:lncRNA from 1 species